rnacentral:rRNA from 1 species
AUUUCUUAGCGGCGGACGGGUGCGUAACACGUGGGUAACCUGCCCCUAUCACCGGGAUAACACACUGAAAAGUGUGCUAAUACCGGAUAACAUAAUCUUAUGGCAUCAUAAGAUGAUCAAAGCGUUAGCGGAUAAGGAUGGGCCCGCGUCUGAUUAGCUAGUUGGUAGGGUAACGGCUUACCAAGGCAACGAUCAGUAGCCGACCUGAGAGGGUGAUCGGCCACACUGGAACUGUGACACGGUCCAGACUCCUACGGGAGGCAGCAGUGGGGAAUAUUGCACAAUGGGAGAAAGCCUGAUGCAGCAACGCCGCGUGAGCGAUGAAGGCCUUCGGGUCGUAAAGCUCUGUCCUAUGGGAAGAUAAUGACGGUACCAUAGGAGGAAGCCCCGGCUAACUACGUGCCAGCAGCCGCGCUAAUACGUAGGGGGCAAGCGUUAUCCGGAAUUACUGGGCGUAAAGGGUGCGUAGGCGGUUUAUCAAGUCAGGGGUGAAAGGCUACGGCUCAACCGUAGUAAGCCUCUGAAACUGGUGAACUUGAGUGUAGGAGAGGAAAGUGGAAUUCCCAGUGUAGCGGUGAAAUGCGUAGAUAUUGGGAGGAACAGCAGUGGCGAAGGCGACUUUCUGGAC